GUGGCGGACGGGUGAGUAACGCGUAAAGAACUUGCCUUACAGACUGGGACAACAUUUGGAAACGAAUGCUAAUACCGGAUAUUAUGAUUGGGUCGCAUGAUCUGGUUAUGAAAGCUAUAUGCGCUGUGAGAGAGCUUUGCGUCCCAUUAGUUAGUUGGUGAGGUAACGGCUCACCAAGACGAUGAUGGGUAGCCGGCCUGAGAGGGUGAACGGCCACAAGGGGACUGAGACACGGCCCUUACUCCUACGGGAGGCAGCAGUGGGGAAUAUUGGACAAUGGACCAAAAGUCUGAUCCAGCAAUUCUGUGUGCACGAAUGAAGUUUUUCGGAAUGUAAAGUGCUUUCAGUUGGGAAGAAAGUCAGUGACGGUACCAACAGAAGAAGCGACGGCUAAAUACGUGCCAGCAGCCGGCGGUAAUACGUAUGUCGCAAGCGUUAUCCGGANUUUAUUGGGCGUAAAGCGCGUCUAGGCGGCUUAGUAAGUCUGAUGUGAAAAUGCGGGGCUCAACCCCCGUAUUGCGUUGGAAACUGCUAAACUAGAGUACUGGAGAGGUAGGCGGAACUACAAGUGUAGAGGUGAAAUUCGUAGAUAUUUGUAGGAAUGCCGAUGGGGAAGCCAGCCUACUGGACAGAUACUGACGCUAAAGCGCGAAAGCGUGGGUAGCAAACAGGAUUAGAUACCCUGGUAGUCCACGCCGUAAACGAUGAUUACUAGGUGUUGGGGGUCGAACCUCAGCGCCCAAGCUAACGCGAUAAGUAAUCCGCCUGGGGAGUACGUACGCAAGUAUGAAACUCAAAGGAAUUGACGGGGACCCGCACAAGCGGUGGAGCAUGUGGUUUAAUUCGACGCAACGCGAGGAACCUUACCAGCGUUUGACAUCCCAAGAAGUUAACAGAGAUGUUUUCGUGCCUCUUCGGAGGAACUUGGUGACAGGUGGUGCAUGGCCUGUCGUCAGCUCGUGUCGUGAGAUGUUGGGUUAAGUCCCGCAAACAACGCAACCCCUUUCGUAUGUUACCAUCAUUAAGUUGGGGACUCAUGCGAGACUGCCUGCGAUGAGCAGGAGGAAGGUGGGGAUGACGUCAAGUCAUCAUGCCCCUUAUACGCUGGGCUACACACGUGCUACAAUGGGUAGUACAGAGAGCUGCAAACCUGCGAGGGUAAGCUAAUCUCAUAAAACUAUUCUUAGUUCGGAUUGUACUCUGCAACUCGAGUACAUGAAGUUGGAAUCGCUAGUAAUCGCAAAUCAGCUAUGUUGCGGUGAAUACGUUCUCGGGUCUUGUACACACCGCCCGUCACACCACGAGAGUUGGUUGCACCUGAAGUAACAGGCCUAACCGAAGGAGGGA
rnacentral:rRNA from 1 species